ensembl:lncRNA
CUGCAAUGAGAAGCCACUGCAACGAGAAGCCCACACACCACAAUCAAAGAGGACCCCCGCACUGCAACCAGAGAAGGUCCACACAAUCAGAGAGGACCCCCACUGCAACUAGAGAAGGUCCACGCAAUCAGAGAGGACCCCCACUGCAACUAGAGAAAGUCCACGCAGAGAGGACCCCCCACUGCAACUAGAGAAGGUCCAUGCAAUCAGAGAGGACCCCCCACUGCAACUAGAGAAGGUCCACACAACCAGAGUCCCCCCCACUGCAACCAGAGAAGGUCCACGCAAUCAGAGAGGACCCCCACUGCAACUAGAGAAAGUCCACGCAGAGAGGACCCCCCACUGCAACUAGAGAAGGUCCACACACAGCAACAAAGACCAGCGCAGUCAAAAAUAAUAAACAUUUUUGAAAAGAAAUGAGUAUCUUUGCUUUUUAAAAAGUUUAAAAAUGUAUCGGUAAAAGGGAUAAACUUCUAGCCACAAUGAACGAGCCAAAAAGGAGACAAAACACAAAUUACAACAUCUAGAACAAAAGGGAGGACAUCACUACAGAUCCUAUAGACACUGAAAGGAUAACUAAGAGAAUAUUGUGAAUUUUAUUCCAAUAGACUUUACAUGCCAGUUGAAGUGAAAAAGAAUUCCAUGAAAGUACACAUUACUAAAAC